ensembl:snoRNA Small nucleolar RNA SNORD50
GAACUAUGAUGAACACACAUUAUCCCGAAUCUGAAUCCUUUUUUGCUGAGACAAUUUACGGAUCUGACUACUGAGUU